GGUCAGGAUAGCUCAGUUGGUAGAGCAGAGGACUGAAAAUCC
rnacentral:tRNA from 12 species